GCCUUCGUGGUGAAUUGGAAACAUGUCCGGCUAGCAUUCCAGAAGUCCGGAGUUCGAAUCCCGGCGAGGGCA
rnacentral:tRNA from 1 species